GUGUCAGCCGCCGCGGUAAGACGUAGGGUGCGAGCGUUGUCCGGAUUUAUUGGGCGUAAAGAGCUCGUAGGCGGCUCGUCGCGUCGACCGUGAAAACCCGCAGCUUAACUGCGGGCUUGCGGUUGAUACGGGCGGGCUAGAGUUCGGUAGGGGAGACUGGAAUUCCUGGUGUAGCGGUGAAAUGCGCAGAUAUCAGGAGGAACACCGGUGGCGAAGGCGGGUCUCUGGGCCGAUACUGACGCUGAGGAGCGAAAGCGUGGGGAGCGAACAGGAUUAGAAACCCCAGUAGUCC
rnacentral:rRNA from 1 species